GCAAUCAACCUCGUCCUCCUCCUCAACGACCUGUCGGAAAAGACGGAGAAGAAGUGGAUUUAACAUUGAAACCGGCGGAGUUGGGAGAAGAAAGA
rnacentral:ribozyme from 1 species